rnacentral:rRNA from 1 species
CAGCAGUCGCCACGGUAAUACCGAGGGUGCAAGCGUUAAUCGGAUUUACUGGGCGUAAAGGGCGCGUAGGUGGUUAUGUAAGUGAGAUGUGAAAUCCCCGGGCUCAACCUGGGAACUGCAUCUUAUACUGCGUAGCUGGAGUGCAGUAGAGGGUAGUGGAAUUUCCGGUGUAGCAGUGAAAUGCGUAGAUAUCAUAAGGAACACCGGUGGCGAAGGCGGUUACCUGGAAGAUUCCUGACUCUGAAACACGAAAGCCAGGGGAGCAAACGGGAUUAGAUACCCGGGUAGUCCCUGUCUCUUAUAC